rnacentral:rRNA from 1 species
AGAGAGAGACAUGCGCGCAUAUCAAUAAGCGGAGGAAAAGAAACUAACAAGGAUUCCCCUAGUAACGGCGAGUGAAGCGGGAAGAGCUCAAAUUUGAAAUCUUAAAGGGUUUCCCUUUACGAAUUGUAGUUUAAAGAAGUGUUUUCUGUUGAGGUUUUGGUAAAAGUUCUUUGGAAUAGGACAUCAUAGAGGGUGAGAAUCCCGUAUUUGACCUUUACUUUCAACUUUGUGAUACACUUUCAAAGAGUCGGAUUGUUUGGGAAUGCAGUCCAAAAUGGGUGGUAAAUUUCAUCUAAAGCUAAAUAUUGGCGAGAGACCGAUAGCGAACAAGUACCGUGAGGGAAAGAUGAAAAGAACUUUGAAAAGAGAGUUAAACAGUACGUGAAAUUGUCAAAAGGGAAGCGUUUGACACCAGUGUUGUUUUUCUGAAAAUCAAUUAAAGAACUGUUUAUGCUAAGCUGUUUAGACUUUAUCAGCUAUCUGUUUAGUUUUGAGCUUUUCUUUAAUGCACUUUUCAGUUAACAAGUCAACAUCAAUUUCUUUUGCUGUAAAAAAGCUUGAGGAAGGUGGCUUGAGAUUCGUCUUAAGUGUUUAUAGCCUCUUGCCUAUGCAGUCGGAGAGAUUGAGGUCUGCAGCGUAGAUCCUUCGGGGCUAAAUGCAUUUGUGCUAAGUUAUAGCAUUUUAUAGACAACUUGUUGACUAUGAUUUGUCUUGUAGCUUACUCGCUUAUGUUAUUUUACCUACGCUUAGGAUGUUGAGCGCAUGUCUCUCUCU